UCCCUCUCGGGGUUGCAUCUGGAGAGUUUCUAGUACUCUACCAGUCUCGACUACGGGAGACAGAGUCAAGCAGAGGCCUGUCCAUUCCAUUCCUAGCUUGGGCAGUGGCUAGUGAGUGGAAGGCAAUCUACUACAAGU